CUCCAUUGCCCAGAACAGAACUGGCAAUAUUUGGGAUGUGCACCUCAGAAGAUCUAUACAAGAUUGGGAAAUGGACAGCUUGAUGGACAUGUUAGCCAGAGUGGAGGUCUUCACCAUCGAUGAGAAUCUACCUGACACUAUGAAGUAGGGGAACAAGGGCAUCUUUAUAGUGGAGAGGUCUUCACCAUCGAUGAGAAUCUAACUAGCACUAUGAAGUGGGGAACAAGGGCAUCUUUACAGUGAAAGAAUGCUAUAAGCACAUUUGUACUCAGAACCAGGUAUUUGACGCAGACCAUUGGCCAUGGAGACUUAUAUGGAAGACCAAACUACCCACCAAGGUAGUUUGUUUCAGC
rnacentral:lncRNA from 1 species